UAGCUGGUUUGAGAGGAUGAUCAGCACACUGGGACUGAGACACGGCCCAGACUCCUACGGGAGGCAGCAGUGGGGAAUAUUGCACAAUGGGCGCAAGCCUGAUGCAGCCAUGCCGCGUGUGUGAAGAAGGCCUUCGGGUUGUAAAGCACUUUCAGUCAGGAGGAAAGGUUACCCGUAGUUAAUACCUGCUAGCUGUGACGUUACUGACAGAAGAAGCACCGGCUAACUCCGUGCCAGCAGCCGCGGUAA
rnacentral:rRNA from 1 species